rnacentral:rRNA from 1 species
UACGGAGGGUGCAAGCGUUGCUCGGAAUUAUUGGGCGUAAAGGGUAGGUAGGUGGUCUUAUUUGUCUGGGGUGAAAGCCUUGGGCUUAACUCAAGAAGUGCCUCAGAGACGGUAAGACUAGAGUUCUGGAGAGGGUCGUGGAAUUCCCGGUGUAGCGGUGAAAUGCGUAGAGAUCGGGAGGAACACCAGAGGCGAAGGCGGCGACCUGGACAGUGACUGACACUCAACUACGAAAGCGUGGGGAGCAAACAGG